CAGACAAACACCUGUGGAGUCUUUCGCAGUACCUGUGGUUUUAUCUGCUUUCAGGUCAGCAAAGAAACAGAAUCCAGAGUUGUGAGCUCUGCACUGUAAAUGUCCCUGAAUCCUGCACUUCGUGAGGAAGCAGCAGUAGCUCCACUGCAAGGUGAAAAUGUAGGACAAAUAAACAAGAAAGAGCAGCUGACAGACAGGAGAGAGAGAAAGCAGACAUUGUUCACUGUGGAACCUGUAUAAAGAAAGGUACCAGCUCACAACUGGUUCACACUGAGUUUAGAGAAGAUGUUUAAUGUCCCUCAUUCCUAAAAAUAGCGUGUAUUUUCUCCUGUAAAACGUGGGGAUGUGUUGUGAUACAUGUAUGUGUAUAUACCAACAGACAUCUAAGUGUAAACUAUGUGAGGAAGUAGCUGCAAAGCUAUUAACUUAUUAUAGCUUGGGUAGUUUAAAAUCAAGUCCUAGGAAAUAAUGUCAUGUUUAAUCUCUAAAAGUGUAGCAAGAAGAGCAAGCCCAUUCCUAAGCAGUGGAAAGAGCAAUUGAGUCUGCCUCUGACAGCUGCCACCUGGCAUCCUAUUAAACUUAACUCUGUGAAACUGCCAGGCAUAAAUCUUCCCUCAUCCUGGAGAAAGCUAGAGAUGAAAGAAAAAAUUAUGCUUAGAAGUCAGUUGUGGAAAAGUCUUUGAUCUUUACCAUUACUGUGAAGAUUUUUGCAUUUCUUCCAGAUUCCCCAUUGUCCUUCUGUGGACUAGAAACUCAAAUUGUUUGCUGGAACUUGGCUGCAUGUAAGGAGAAGUGCAAAUUUAUCUUGUUACAUAGUAGGAGAGAGAACUAGGAAGGCCUGGGAUUUGUUUCCACAGAGAUUACUGCAGUUCUUGGAUCAGUAUGUACAGAAGGAGGUGCUCUCUGUGCUAGGUGGCAUGAGGCAUUAGUUAGUCUCAUGAAAUGAGCAAAAGGACAUUAAUUGUGCAGGCUGGCAGUUCAUCUGCAAAGUUUUGGACAGGCAUGUGUGGCCCUGCAGUUUCUGCUGAAUGGAAUUUGUCUCAUAAAAUCUGAUGAAAAGCUAUUACAAACAGGCAGCUUGAUUGAAUAGCCCUUAUUAAAAAUUCCUGCUGACUCCAGUUAGCCUUCCCUUUAGAGAGAGUAACUGGAGAACAUCAGGAAUGCAGUAGCAGGGUGUCUGUGCAGAAAAUGAGUAUAAUUGCACAAAGGCUGCAUCUUAGCUGGUGGUGUCAGUCAGGAC
rnacentral:lncRNA from 1 species